AUUAAACGCUGGCGGCAUGCCUUACACAUGCAAGUCGAACGGUAGCGCGGGGCAACCUGGCGACGAGUGGCGAACGGGUGAGUAAAGCAUCGGAACGUGCCCUGGAAUGGGGGAUAACGUAGCGAAAGUUACGCUAAUACCGCAUAUUCUGUGAGCAGGAAAGCAGGGGAUCGCAAGACCUUGCGUUCUGGGAGCGGCCGAUGUCGGAUUAGCUAGUUGGUGGGGUAAAAGCCUACCAAGGCGACGAUCCGUAGCGGGUCUGAGAGGAUGAUCCGCCACACUGGGACUGAGACACGGCCCAGACUCCUACGGGAGGCAGCAGUGGGGAAUUUUGGACAAUGGGCGGAAGCCUGAUCCAGCCAUGCCGCGUGAGUGAAGAAGGCCUUCGGUUGUAAAGCUCUUCGGUUGGGGAAGGAAAGUUAGCACGGGUUAAUACCCUGUGUAGAUGACGGUACCCGACUAAGAAGCACCGGCUAACUACGUAGCCAGCAGCCGCGGUAAU
rnacentral:rRNA from 1 species